rnacentral:lncRNA from 1 species
GAGCCAUCUGAUGCGGGUGCCGGGGUCUAAGUUCUGGUCCACAGAUAGAACAGGGUGUGGAUGGAAUCCAUAGCCUCGCACUGGCAAGCAUGAAGAAGAAAGCUGAGACCAGAAGAAUGGAUUAGAAUUCAUGAGCCAUUUGUUCAGCUUUGAAUUGAUGGAGCCCUGGCUGGCUGGAGAGGCCAGAGCGAAAACUGGCCGAGGCCCUGCAGAAAUGGACCCAGGCUCUCAUCCUCCCUCUGGCAGAAGGGAAAUGUGAUGUGCAUGUUCACUCUGGAAACCUCCAAAUGUCAGCCCUGAGAAGGUCCCUGAUUCCUCACAGCAGUUCUGUGCGGCAAAACCCUUUGCAGGGAAAAGAAAUUGCCUAAGGUCUCACGUGAGUGAGAAUGAGGACCCGCAGGCAGGGUUCUCUGGCUUCAAAGUCUAGACUUUGCAUUUUAUGUUAAAUCGCCUUGUAUGACAAUGUUAUAUUGCAUAGACAAUAAUAUCUUGCUCUUCUCGGGCAAGAAUGGUCAUGGGAUUUUGUUCAUCUCUGGGAGAAAAAUACAGUCAACCCUCCAAAAUUAUAUACAAAAAAUUUUUAUAUUGAUUUGUUCAUUUGAACUGCAUGGUUAAUGUAGAAGGUGCUGUGAAAAUGCAUGUUGUUGAGGGAAUUUUCUGGGUACAGUGAACAGUCUUUUCUUCAAGACAGCAGUCAUUGGAGGAGGAGCUAUGUGCUCAGCCUGAGCAGACAUCCCAUAUUUGCCUGUGUGCUACUUUGGCUUGUUCAGUGCAUACACCAUGGUGUUUGAACACUAUGUUUUCUUUUCUUCUUCUCAUACACCAAUAAUAAAAUAAAAAGUCAAUAUUAAAAAUGAUUUGAUACAGA